CGCCCUUUGGGGUGAGGUAGUAGGUUGUAUAGUUUGGGGCUCUGCCCUGCUGUGGGUUAACUAUACAAUCUACUGUCUUUCCUGAAGUGGCUG
ensembl:miRNA